AGUUUCUAAACCAGUGGGUCUCAGCCCUGCGUCCUCAGUAGAGCGGUUUACUUUUCGUUUUUUGUUUUUUUAAAAACCCUGCCCUGGCAGCCCCCCAGACGAUUAAAAGAGAAUUAAUACGGAAUGGAACCAAUAUUUAUUAAAACGCUCUAGGUGCUGCCACUUUGCAGCCAAGAAAGGAGGCAGGAUCUUCAACUUGCAACAAGCCCCGUCUUCCUGCCCUCUGGAUCUAGCCCCUGGGACGAAGGCGACAGAGGUGAACUAUAAAAUUGUCCCAGUGGUCCUCCGGCGAUGCUGAGUGCAGCUGUGAAUGCUUCCAGACCGUUGUCUGCUUGGUCCCGUCCUGUAAGUUACCGGAUACGCGGAUCCACGGAUUAUAUAAUAGCUGCCUGCCUCAUAGUCUGAUCUCAAGAUACCUUCUCCAUCCUCCAACAGGUGGCAAUAGAUAAUCUACAUGGUGGGGGUCCAAUAUCUUUAUCCGCUUAACAAUCUUAUGAAAACUGAAUGCCCAUUUUCCUGAAACUUAAUCCUGAAUAUGAACCCUCAUACAACACAUGGAAAGGACUGUUAACAGAACUAUACACUCAGUGCUACAAGACAGAGGAGAGUAACUACCUGCAUAUUAUGAAACCUUCACAGAAGAG